rnacentral:rRNA from 1 species
AUGAACGCUGGCGGCGUGCCUAAUACAUGCAAGUCGAACGAGUUCUGAUUAUUGAAGGGUGCUUGCAUCUUGAUUUAAUUUUGAACGAGUGGCGGACGGGUGAGUAACACGUGGGUAACCUGCCCUUAAGUGGGGGAUAACAUUUGGAAGCAGAUGCUAAUACCGCAUAAAUCCAAGAACCGCAUGGUUCUUGGCUGAAAGAUGGCGUAAGCUAUCGCUUUUGGAUGGACCCGCGGCGUAUUAGCUAGUUGGUGAGGUAACGGCUCACCAAGGCAAUGAUACGUAGCCGAACUGAGAGGUUGAUCGGCCACAUUGGGACUGAGACACGGCCCAAACUCCUACGGGAGGCAGCAGUAGGGAAUCUUCCACAAUGGACGCAAGUCUGAUGGAGCAACGCCGCGUGAGUGAAGAAGGCUUUCGGGUCGUAAAACUCUGUUGUUGGAGAAGAAUGGUCGGCAGAGUAACUGUUGUCGGCGUGACGGUAUCCAACCAGAAAGCCACGGCUAACUACGUGCCAGCAGCCGCGGUAAUACGUAGGUGGCAAGCGUUAUCCGGAUUUAUUGGGCGUAAAGCGAGCGCAGGCGGUUUUUUAAGUCUGAUGUGAAAGCCCUCGGCUUAACCGAGGAAGUGCAUCGGAAACUGGGAAACUUGAGUGCAGAAGAGGACAGUGGAACUCCAUGUGUAGCGGUGAAAUGCGUAGAUAUAUGGAAGAACACCAGUGGCGAAGGCGGCUGUCUGGUCUGUAACUGACGCUGAGGCUCGAAAGCAUGGGUAGCGAACAGGAUUAGAUACCCUGGUAGUCCAUGCCGUAAACGAUGAAUGCUAGGUGUUGGAGGGUUUCCGCCCUUCAGUGCCGCAGCUAACGCAUUAAGCAUUCCGCCUGGGGAGUACGACCGCAAGGUUGAAACUCAAAGGAAUUGACGGGGGCCCGCACAAGCGGUGGAGCAUGUGGUUUAAUUCGAAGCAACGCGAAGAACCUUACCAGGUCUUGACAUCUUUUGAUCACCUGAGAGAUCAGGUUUCCCCUUCGGGGGCAAAAUGACAGGUGGUGCAUGGUUGUCGUCAGCUCGUGUCGUGAGAUGUUGGGUUAAGUCCCGCAACGAGCGCAACCCUUAUGACUAGUUGCCAGCAUUUAGUUGGGCACUCUAGUAAGACUGCCGGUGACAAACCGGAGGAAGGUGGGGAUGACGUCAAAUCAUCAUGCCCCUUAUGACCUGGGCUACACACGUGCUACAAUGGAUGGUACAACGAGUUGCGAGACCGCGAGGUCAAGCUAAUCUCUUAAAGCCAUUCUCAGUUCGGACUGUAGGCUGCAACUCGCCUACACGAAGUCGGAAUCGCUAGUAAUCGCGGAUCAGCACGCCGCGGUGAAUACGUUCCCGGGCCUUGUACACACCGCCCGUCACACCAUGAGAGUUUGUAACACCCGAAGCCGGUGGCGUAACCCUUUUAGGGAGCGAGCCGUCUAAGGUGGGACAAAUGAUUAGGGUG